AUAGCAUUCAUGGACCCCUUUAUUAUUAAUUAAAUUAAUUAAUUGGAAUUAAAAUAGGAAUUAGGAUCCUCCAUUAAAUAUAGUCAAUUAUAGGAUAUUCCUCUCCAUUUCAAUUUCAUUCAAAUAUCCCCACCUCAUAAAUAGGCCUUUGUUCCUUGCUUUAGCUUUGUUCACAAUCACCACAUUGUGUUGCCUACUAAAAGCAAAACUCCCCCAAAACAAACAUUUCACAACCUCUCCUUUUCUCUUUAGAUCUUGUUUUUAUUCUCUUUCUUUUCUCUUCCACAAGUGUUUCACGUAAGGUUCAAGGGUUUCAUCCUUUUUUCUUUCAUUAAGAAUACUCGCGAACAACCGAGUGGGUCGAGUGGGAGACAGAAUGUAGUCCGACUUAUGAUCUCUUGCUCGACUGGUCGAGCAACCUUCCUUGGGUCGAGCCAUGGUCGAGCGAGCAGCAAGUACCUAUUAGAGCAUUUCAAAUCCAUCACCAUUCAUCAAUCAACCCGUAUACUAUUCCUAACAUCCAAGACACAUAUAUACCCAUCAUAUCAAAUGUACACAUUGGGCUUUAUUGAGUCACUACAUCUAACAGUAGUGGUGGAGGAUUGGGCAAUACAGUGGUAGUUGUAGCAUUUGGGGGACGCAAGGACCGAAUUCAAUGAAAUGCAAUGUUGUUUUUUUUUUUUUAAUUGAUAGAAGCUAACAUUGUGUAAAAUAACUUGCCAAAUAAUUAAAAUUUAGCAAAUCUCAACAAUUCAAGUGGACUUGGAAUUUUUCUAUCUUUUUGAUAGAUAGUAUAUAUCUUUUUGUUAUGUAAUUAAUUUUAUUUAAAUUAAACAUAGCUAAUUAGAUUUUUUUAAUGCAAUUUUAAUUGGUAGAAGAUAACAUGGUGUAAAAAAAACUGGCCAAAUAAUUAAAUUUAGCAAAUCUGAACAAUUCAAGUGGCAGAACUCCCAAAGAGUACCACUUGGAAAUUUUCAAUCUUUUUAAUAGAUAAUAUAUAUCCUUUUGUAAUGUAAUUAGCUCCAUUUAAAUUAAACAUAGCUAAUUAGAUAUUUGGUUUUUCUUUUUUUUUUUUAAUUUUAAUUGGUAGAAGAUAAUAUGGUGUAAAAACAACUUGUCAAAUAAUUAAAAUUUAUCAAAUCUCAACAAUUCAAGUGGCAGAACUCCCAAUAAAAGUGUCACUUGAAAUUUUUCAAUCUUUUUGAUAAAUAAUAAAUUAACAUGAUGUACAACUAACUUGUCAAAUAAUUAAAAUUUAAUAAUUAAAAUUUAACAAAUCUUAACAAAUAGUAAAAGUUGAUUUACGAUGUUUGUUUCCUUGAGAUGAAACAUUGUAGUUUUUUUUCCUUUUGUUUUAAUCCCAUUCUUUUAUUUACUUUCAAAAUUUUUCUCCUUCAAUUUUUUUUUUGUUAUUUUUAAUUAUCAAAUACUAAUACUAAUAACAACAAUAAUAAUGAUUGUUUCGGUGAUGAAACGAGGAAGUGCAAAAGACACUUAAAAUACCUGGAGAUAGGUGUAAUCGGGUACAACCAUCAAUAUGCUGAAAAUGUUUAUGAUCCUUCCGCUGAUGAGACCUCAAAUCCUGCAAUACAACGUUAGCCUUGUCCGAGGGUGAUUUCCCGAAAAACCCCUCCGACGCUCAAGUCAGAUCGGGAGACAGAAAGUAAUGAAUAUAUGAUAAUGAAUGAAUACAAGAUUAACGGAUUGUAGGAUGAGUUGAGAUCAAUUGAAGGAAUAUUUGGUUCAGUAUAGAUUGUACGUAGGAGGGUGAAUAUUUAUUGUGGUGUAACGACAACAAUAUAAAAGCUUAGUCCGGUGCAAAUGAUGUACGCGACAUGUAUUUAUAAUGGUAGAAUGGAGGUUAGAUGGUGAAUUAAUGUGGGAAUCAUGGGUAUGAUGGGUGAGUGGUAGGUUAUGAUGAGUAGUGGGUAGUUAUUUUAAGAAGUUAUUGAACCGAGUUGGGUGGUUAGGGUUUGACGGGUUUAUUUAUUUGACCCCAUAACAAUGAUCAAUACUAUAUAUAAUUUGUUAUUCUUGAAUGAUAAUUUUUAACUUGAUUUAGGAUUUA